AUUGUUUACUGAAGGAGUAAAUAA
rnacentral:snRNA from 1 species